rnacentral:rRNA from 1 species
UACGUAGGUGGCGAGCGUUGUCCGGAUUUACUGGGCGUAAAGGGAGCGUAGGCGGACUUUUAAGUGAGAUGUGAAAUACCCGGGCUCAACUUGGGUGCUGCAUUUCAAACUGGAAGUCUAGAGUGCAGGAGAGGAGAAUGGAAUUCCUAGUGUAGCGGUGAAAUGCGUAGAGAUUAGGAAGAACACCAGUGGCGAAGGCGAUUCUCUGGACUGUAACUGACGCUGAGGCUCGAAAGCGUGGGGAGCAAAUAGGAUUAGAUACCCCCGUA